rnacentral:rRNA from 1 species
UACAGGGGGGGCAAGCGUUAUUCGGAAUUACUGGGCGUAAAGGGUUCGUAGGUGGCCAACUAAGUCAGACGUGAAAUCCCUCAGCUUAACUGGGGAACUGCGUCUGAUACUGGAUGGCUUGAGUGUAGGAGAGGAAUGCGGAAUUCCAGGUGUAGCGGUGAAAUGCGUAGAUAUCUGGAGGAACACCGGUGGCGAAGGCGGCAUUCUGGACUACAACUGACACUGAGGAACGAAAGCCAGGGGAGCAAACGGG